rnacentral:rRNA from 1 species
UGGGGAAUAUUGCGCAAUGGGGGGAACCCUGACGCAGCCAUGCCGCGUGAAUGAAGAAGGCCUUAGGGUUGUAAAGUUCUUUCGGUAUUGAGGAAGGUUGAUGUGUUAAUAGCACAUCAAAUUGACGUUAAAUACAGAAGAAGCACCGGCUAACUCCGUGCCAGCAGCCGCGGUAAUACGGAGGGUGCGAGCGUUAAUCGGAAUAACUGGGCGUAAAGGGCACGCAGGCGGUUAUUUAAGUGAGGUGUGAAAGCCCCGGGCUUAACCUGGGAAUUGCAUUUCAGACUGGGUAACUAGAGUACUUUAGGGAGGGGUAGAAUUCCACGUGUAGCGGUGAAAUGCGUAGAGAUGUGGAGGAAUACCGAAGGCGAAGGCAGCCCCUUGGGAAUGUACUGACGCUCAUGUGCGAAAGCGUGGGGAGCAAACAGGAUUAGAUACCCUGGUAGUCCACGCUGUAGACGCUGUCGAUUUGGGGGUUGGGGUUUAACUCUGGCGCCCGUAGCUAACGUGAUAAAUCGACCGCCUGGGGAGUACGGCCGCAAGGUUA